rnacentral:rRNA from 1 species
GAUGAACGCUGGCGGCGUGCCUAAUACAUGCAAGUCGAGCGAACGGACGAGAAGCUUGCUUCUCUGAUGUUAGCGGCGGACGGGUGAGUAACACGUGGAUAACCUACCUAUAAGACUGGGAUAACUUCGGGAAACCGUAGCUAAUACCGGAUAAUAUAUUGAACCGCAUGGUUCAAUAGUGAAAGACGGUUUUGCUGUCACUUAUAGAUGGAUCCGCGCCGCAUUAGCUAGUUGGUAAGGUAACGGCUUACCAAGGCAACGAUGCGUAGCCGACCUGAGAGGGUGAUCGGCCACACUGGAACUGAGACACGGUCCAGACUCCUACGGGAGGCAGCAGUAGGGAAUCUUCCGCAAUGGGCGAAAGCCUGACGGAGCAACGCCGCGUGAGUGAUGAAGGUCUUCGGAUCGUAAAACUCUGUUAUUAGGGAAGAACAAAUGUGUAAGUAACUAUGCACGUCUUGACGGUACCUAAUCAGAAAGCCACGGCUAACUACGUG